rnacentral:rRNA from 1 species
AUUGAACGCUGGCGGCAGGCUUAACACAUGCAAGUCGAGCGAGCGGCGGACGGGUGAGUAAUGUCUGGGGAACUGCCCGAUAGAGGGGGAUAACUACUGGAAACGGUAGCUAAUACCGCAUACUAUCGGAUGAACCCAGAUGGGAUUAGCUAGUAGGUGGGGUAAAGGCUCACCUAGGCGACGAUCCCUAGCUGGUCUGAGAGGAUGACCAGCCACACUGGAACUGAGACACGGCCCAGACUCCUACGGGAGGCAGCAGUGGGGAAUAUUGCACAAUGGGCGCAAGCCUGAUGCAGCCAUGCCGCGUGUAUGAAGAAGGCCUUCGGGUUGUAAAGUACUUUCAGCGGGGAGGCGUUACUCGCAGAAGAAGCACCGGCUAACUCCGUGCCAGCAGCCGCGGUAAUAC